ACGAACGCUGGCGGCGUGCCUAAUACAUGCAAGUCGAGCGGAGAUUUGGGAGCUUGCUCCCAAAUCUUAGCGGCGGACGGGUGAGUAACACGUGGGCAACCUGCCCUGCAGACUGGGAUAACUCCGGGAAACCGGAGCUAAUACCGGGUAAUACAUAGCACCGCAUGGUGCAAUGUUGAAAGUUGGCUUUCGAGCUAACACUGCAGGAUGGGCCCGCGGCGCAUUAGCUAGUUGGUAAGGUAAUGGCUUACCAAGGCGACGAUGCGUAGCCGACCUGAGAGGGUGAUCGGCCACACUGGGACUGAGACACGGCCCAGACUCUACGGGAGGCAGCAGUAGGGAAUCUUCCGCAAUGGACGAAAGUCUGACGGAGCAACGCCGCGUGAGUGACGAAGGCUUCGGGUCGUAAAGCUCUGUUGUUAGGGAAGAACAAGUACCGUUCGAAUAGGGCGUACCUUGACGGUACCUAACCAGAAAGCCACGGCUAACUACGUGCCAGCAGCCGCGGUAAUACGUAGGUGGCAAGCGUUGUCCGGAAUUAUUGGGCGUAAAGCGCGCGCAGGCGGUCUUUUAAGUCUGAUGUGAAAGCCCACGGCUCAACCGUGGAGGGUCAUUGGAAACUGGAGGACUUGAGUGCAGAAGAGGAGAGUGGAAUUCCACGUGUAGCGGUGAAAUGCGUAGAUAUGUGGAGGAACACCAGUGGCGAAGGCGGCUCUCUGGUCU
rnacentral:rRNA from 1 species